rnacentral:rRNA from 1 species
AACGAACGCUGGCGGCAUGCCUAACACAUGCAAGUCGAACGAGACCUUCGGGUCUAGUGGCGCACGGGUGCGUAACGCGUGGGAACCUGCCCUUAGGUUCGGAAUAACUCCCCGAAAGGGGUGCUAAUACCGGAUAAUGUCUUCGGACCAAAGAUUUAUCGCCUUUGGAUGGGCCCGCGUUGGAUUAGCUAGUUGGUAGGGUAAAAGCCUACCAAGGCGACGAUCCAUAGCUGGUUUGAGAGGAUGAUCAGCCACACUGGGACUGAGACACGGCCCAGACUCCUACGGGAGGCAGCAGUGGGGAAUAUUGGACAAUGGGCGGAGGCCUGAUCCAGCAAUGCCGCGUGAGUGAUGAAGGCCUUAGGGUUGUAAAGCUCUUUUACCCGGGAUGAUAAUGACAGUACCGGGAGAAUAAGCUCCGGCUAACUCCGUG